rnacentral:rRNA from 1 species
GGGUGCUCGAGUGGCGAACGGGUGAGUAACACGUUAGUAACCUGCCCUUGACUUUGGGAUAACUUCAGGAAACUGGGGCUAAUACCGGAUAGGAGCCCCUGCUGCAUGGUGGGGGUUGGAAAGUUUCGGCGGUUGGGGAUGGACUCGCGGCUUAUCAGCUUGUUGGUGGGGUAGUGGCUUACCAAGGCUUUGACGGGUAGCCGGCCUGAGAGGGUGACCGGCCACAUUGGGACUGAGAUACGGCCCAG